rnacentral:rRNA from 1 species
UACGGGGGGGGCAAGCGUUGUCCGGAAUUAUUGGGCGUAAAGAGCUCGUAGGCGGUGUGUCGCGUCGGCCGUGAAAACCUGCAGCUUAACUGUGGGCGUGCGGUCGAUACGGGCAUCACUGGAGUUCGGCAGGGGAGACUGGAAUUCCUGGUGUAGCGGUGAAAUGCGCAGAUAUCAGGAGGAACACCGGUGGCGAAGGCGGGUCUCUGGGCCGAUACUGACGCUGAGGAGCGAAAGCGUGGGGAGCGAACAGG